GGUGGCUUAGUGGUAGAGUGUUUGCCUUGCAUGCAUGAGGCCCUGGGUUCGAUUCCUCAGCACCA
rfam:Dipodomys ordii contig_2347, whole genome shotgun sequence.